UGCCUGAGCCAAGACAGGGUUUAAAGUGAUCCAGUGGCUCAGGUCCAGACAUUUUAAGGAAGUAGAAAUUCAUCAUCCGAUUGCUGUAUCCUAAUGCUGGACCAAAAUCUUAUUUACUCAGAAUGUCUGAGUUUUAUGCAAUGGCCAGGCUGUAACUAGGAAGUUUACUAAAAGCCAUGAGUUGGAUUCCCACAUCUGGGUGAUCAGCAGAGCUCUCCUCUUUCAGCCCUUACGUCUUCCAAAGUUCCCCUUCCCCAGACACAGACUCUGGGCAGGUCUGCUGGCCACUUCCGUGGAAGACCAUCCCUUUCCUUCCUGCAUCUCUUCCAGACUCCUCCCAGAUGUCCUUCUCAUGCGUGUCAGCAGCAGCAGAAGUCAAGGAGUCACUCUCUACCCUGGACUGUGGGACCAUCUGAACCAGAAGUCAGCUAGAAGGCACGUGAAGGACUUGGCAUCGUUCACUCCUGCUGGGACCUUCCACCUGUCCGAGAGGGACCUGACACCUUCCUCUGCCUGUUCAGCUCUCACCCACUAUGCACGUCCUGGUCCAAGUGCCACAGGUGCUCUGAAGACUCCCUAAGC
ensembl:lncRNA